rnacentral:rRNA from 1 species
UACGUAGGGGGCAAGCGUUGUCCGGAUUUAUUGGGCGUAAAGCGCGUGUAGGCGGUCAGGUAGGUCCGUUGUGAAAACUCGAGGCUCAACCUCGAGACGCCGAUGGAAACCAUCUGACUAGAGUCCGGAAGAGGAGAGUGGAAUUCCUGGUGUAGCGGUGAAAUGCGCAGAUAUCAGGAAGAACACCCGUGGCUAAGGCGGCUCUCUAGUACGGUACUGACGCUGAGACGCGAAAAGCGUGGGGAGCGAACAGG